rnacentral:rRNA from 1 species
UGCAAGUCGAACGAUGAUCCGGUGCUUGCAUCGGGGAUUAGUGGCGAACGGGUGAGUAACACGUGAGUAACCUGCCCUUGACUCUGGGAUAAGCCUGGGAAACUGGGUCUAAUACCGGAUACGACUCUUCACCGCAUGGUGGGGGGUGGAAAGCUUUUGCGGUUUUGGAUGGACUCGCGGCCUAUCAGCUUGUUGGUGGGGUAAUGGCCUACCAAGGCGACGACGGGUAGCCGGCCUGAGAGGGUGACCGGCCACACUGGGACUGAGACACGGCCCAGACUCCUACGGGAGGCAGCAGUGGGGAAUAUUGCACAAUGGGCGAAAGCCUGAUGCAGCGACGCCGCGUGAGGGAUGACGGCCUUCGGGUUGUAAACCUCUUUCAGUAGGGAAGAAGCGAAAGUGACGGUACCUGCAGAAGAAGCGCCGGCUAACUACGUGCCAGCAGCCGCGGUAAUACGUAGGGCGCAAGCGUUAUCCGGAAUUAUUGGGCGUAAAGAGCUCGUAGGCGGUUUGUCGCGUCUGCUGUGAAAGACCGGGGCUCAACCCCGGUUCUGCAGUGGGUACGGGCAGACUAGAGUGAUGUAGGGGAGACUGGAAUUCCUGGUGUAGCGGUGAAAUGCGCAGAUAUCAGGAGGAACACCGAUGGCGAAGGCAGGUCUCUGGGCAUUAACUGACGCUGAGGAGCGAAAGCAUGGGGAGCGAACAGGAUUAGAUACCCUGGUAGUCCAUGCCGUAAACGUUGGGCACUAGGUGUGGGGGACAUUCCACGUUUUCCGCGCCGUAGCUAACGCAUUAAGUGCCCCGCCUGGGGAGUACGGCCGCAAGGCUAAAACUCAAAGGAAUUGACGGGGGCCC